UACGGAGGGUGCAAGCGUUAAUCGGAUUUAUUGGGCGUAAAGGGGGCGCAGGCGGGAAGAUAAGUCAGAUGUGAAAGCCCAGGGCUCAACCUUGGAACAGCAUUUGAAACUAUUUUUCUUGAGGGUAGGCGGAGAAAACGGAAUUCCACAAGUAGCGGUGAAAUGCGUAGAUAUGUGGAAGAACACCCGUGGCGAAAGCGGUUUUCUAGCUUAUACCUGACGCUGAGGCCCGAAAGCUAGGGGAGCAAACAGG
rnacentral:rRNA from 1 species